rnacentral:rRNA from 1 species
UACGAAGGGGGCUAGCGUUGCUCGGAAUCACUGGGCGUAAAGCGCACGUAGGCGGCUUACUUAAGUCAGGGGUGAAAUCCUGGAGCUCAACUCCAGAACUGCCUUUGAUUACUGAGGAGCUUGAGUCCGGGAGAGGUGAGUGGAACUGCGAGUGUAGAGGUGAAAAUUCGUAGAUAUUCGCAAGAACACCAGUGGCGAAGGCGGCUUACUGGUCCGGUUCUGGACGCUGAGGCGCGAAAGCGUGGGGAGCAAACAGG